AUUGGAGGAAGAAAACGACAAAUAUAACUUGUUUAAAAAUAACGACGUAAUUGUUACCGUUUACACUGUUGGAAUACCCGGUGGUUAAAACACAGUAAUACGCGUUGUUGCACAGUAGCACACGGUAUUGCACCAAUUAUUGACUCUUACGUAAGAAGGCACUACUCAAUAAUGGUUACAGUAAUUACUGUUCAGUAUUUUAUUUUAUUGAUUCAAUAAUUG
rnacentral:lncRNA from 1 species